CCUACGGGAGGCAGCAGUGAGGAAUAUUGGUCAAUGGCCGGAAGGCUGAACCAGCCAUGUCGCGUGAAGGUCAGUGCCCUAUGGGCGUUAAACUUCUUUUGUGCGGGAGCAAUAAUGGUCACGUGUGGCCAGACGAGAGUACCGUACGAAUAAGCAUCGGCUAACUCCGUGCCAGCAGCCGCGGUAAUACGGGGGAUGCAAGCGUUAUCCGGAUUUAUUGGGUUUAAAGGGUGCGUAGGCUGUGAGGUAAGUCAGCGGUGAAAUGCCCCCGCUCAACGGGGUGAAGUGCCAUUGAUACUGCCUGGCUGGAAUGCGGAUGCCGUGGGAGGAAUGUGUGGUGUAGCGGUGAAAUGCAUAGAUAUCACACAGAACACCGAUUGCGAAGGCAUCUCACGAAUCCGCGAUUGACGCUGAUGCACGAAAGCGUGGGUAUCAAACAGGAUUAGAUACCCCAGUAGUC
rnacentral:rRNA from 1 species